rnacentral:sRNA from 1 species
UCCCAGUGUGACCUGGAUAGGGAGAUGG